rnacentral:rRNA from 1 species
CCUACGGGAGGCAGCAGUGAGGAAUAUUGGUCAAUGGACGGAAGUCUGAACCAGCCAUGCCGCGUGCAGGAAGACGGCCCUCUGAGUUGUAAACUGCUUUUGUACAAGGGUAAACCUGAAUACGUGUAUUCAGCUGAAAGUACCGUACGAAUAAGGAUCGGCUAACUCCGUGCUAGCAGCCGCGGUAAUACGGAGGAUCCAAGCGUUAUCCGGAUGUAUUGGGUUUAAGGGGUGCGUAGGCGGAUUGAUAAGUUAGAGGUGAAAGCUCCGAGCUUAACUCGGGAACUGCCUCUAGUACUGUUAGACUAGAGAGUAGAAGCGGUAGGCGGAAUGUAUGGUGUAGCGGUGAAAUGCUUAGAGAUCAUACAGAACACCGAUUGCGAAGGCAGCUUACCAAGCUAUAUCUGACGUUGAGGCGCGAAAGCGUGGGGAGCGAACAGGAUUAGAUACCCCGGUAGUC